rnacentral:rRNA from 1 species
GGGCAAGCGUUGUCCGGAUUUAUUGGGCGUAAAGAGCGUGUAGGCGGCCAGGUAGGUCCGUUGUGAAAACUGGAGGCUUAACCUCCAGCUGUCGAUGGAAACCAUCUGGCUAGAGUCCGGAAGAGGAGAGUGGAAUUCCUGGUGUAGCGGUGAAAUGCGCAGAUAUCAGGAAGAACACCCGUGGCGAAGGCGGCUCUCUGGGACGGUACUGACGCUGAGACGCGAAAGCGUGGGGAGCGAACAGG